CAGCCGCCGCGGUAAUACGGAGGGUGCAAGCGUUAUCCGGAUUUAUUGGGUUUAAAGGGUCCGUAGGCGGACUUAUAAGUCAGUGGUGAAAGCCUGUCGCUUAACGAUAGAACUGCCAUUGAUACUGUAAGUCUUGAGUAUAUUUGAGGUAGCUGGAAUAAGUAGUGUAGCGGUGAAAUGCAUAGAUAUUACUUAGAACACCAAUUGCGAAGGCAGGUUACCAAGAUAUAACUGACGCUGAGGGACGAAAGCGUGGGUAGCGAACAGGAUUAGAUACCCCAGUAGUCCUUGUCCCUUAUAC
rnacentral:rRNA from 1 species